AUAAGAGGUCCCGCCUGCCCGGUGACCCUGGGUUAAACGGCCGCGGUAUUUUAACCGUGCGAAGGUAGCGCAAUCACUUGUCCUUUAAAUGAAGACCUGUAUGAAUGGCUAGACGAGGGCUUAGCUGUCUCCUCCCCCCGGUCAAUGAAAUUGAUCUCCCCGUGCAGAAGCGGGGAUACUAACAUAAGACGAGAAGACCCUAUGGAGCUUUAGACACUAGACAGCCCACGUUAAAUUUCCUCUAAAAAGAGGAAAAAACAUUGUGAUUCCUGUCUCUCCUGUCUUCGGUUGGGGCGACCGCGGAGGAUAAAAGAGCCUCCAUGUGGACUGGGGUUACAAACCUCACAACUUAGAGCUGCAGCUCCAAGCAACAGAAAUUCUGACCAAAAUGAUCCGGCAUAGCGCCGAUUAACGGAACAAGUUACCCUAGGGAUAACAGCGCAAUCCUCUCCCAGAGUCCCUAUCGACGAGGGGGUUUACGACCUCGAUGUUGGAUCAGGACAUCCUAUUGGUGCAGCCGCUAAUAAGGGUUCGUUUGUUCAACGAUUAAAGUCC
rnacentral:rRNA from 1 species